rnacentral:rRNA from 1 species
AACGAACGCCGGCGGCGUGCCUAACACAUGCAAGUCGAACGUGAUUGGAAGCUUGCUUCCAUGAAAGUGGCGCACGGGUGAGUAACGCGUAGAUAAUCUGCCUGGUGAUUCGGGAUAACACUCCGAAAGGGGUGCUAAUACCGGAUAAGCCCACGGAGUCCUUGGACACUGCGGGAAAAGGGGGGGACCUUCGGGCCUUCUGUCACCAGAUGAGUCUGCGUACCAUUAGCUAGUUGGUAGGGUCAAGGCCUACCAAGGCGACGAUGGUUAGCUGCUCUGAUAGGAUGAUCAGCCACACGGGAACUGAAGCACGGGCCAGACUCCUACGGGAGGCAGCAGUGGGGAAUUUUGCGCAAUGGGGGAAACCCUGACGCAGCAACGCCGCGUGAGUGAUGAAGGCCCUUGGGUCUUAAAGCUCUUACAGAUGGAAAGAAGUGUAUUGUGGCUAAUACCCAUGAUACUUGACGGUACCCACAAAGGAAGCACCGGCUAACUCCGUGCCAGCAGCCGCAGUAAUAC